AGUCAUUUGGGAACAACUCAUCCCAUAUUCCAGUAGCUCUGUGUGUGCACUUCACAGUUUCCCAGGUUUGGAGGAAUUUCAUUUCAACAGGAGAGCACUUCCAGAGAUGACCCUCUGCUGAUACCCUUUCUGGCAAUCAGGCUGUGCAAUCCCAGCUGGAAAAGCAGAGAAGCAAGAGAAGGGAAACACUUACAAGGGAAGUGGAGCCUGCUUGACAUAUUUGAGUGUCAGGGUUGGACACGAUUCAGGAAUUGUGUGUAGACACACUCAGAUCACUACAAACAGCAAGUGCAAGGAAUGAUUGGAACUACUCAGACAUUAUUGAGCUGCAAUCAACUAAUCUCUUGGGAAAGAAACCAGGAGUCACGAACAGCUUAAGACUUACUGUGGAAAUUGGCCUGAAGUAUUACGGAAUUUUGGAAACCCUGAUUAAAAUAAAUGGCGUUCAAGACACUUGUACUGCAGAGAGACUCUGGAGUCCAGGGAGAGCUCUGUAUGAGCAGGAUGUGUCAGACACCAGAACAACGAAUUAAAGAAAGGAAUCGGCUCAGGAAAUAUUAUUGCUGGUUUCUGAAAACAAGCUGAGACGCAGUUGCUACCUGAGGAGCACAAAGGGGAAGAGAAAGAACAUGGGAAGUAAUAAAGCAGAACUUGGAUGUAA